UACGGAGGAUGCAAGCGUUAUCCGGAUUUAUUGGGUUUAAAGGGUCCGUAGGCGGGUCUUUAAGUCAGUGGUGAAAGCCUACAGCUCAACUGUAGAAAUGCCAUUGAUACUGGAGGUCUUGAGUAUAAUUGAAGUGGGCGGAAUACGUCAUGUAGCGGUGAAAUGCAUAGAUAUGACGUAGAACACCGAUUGCGAAGGCAGCUCACUAAGUUAUAACUGACGCUGAGGGACGAAAGCGUGGGGAGCAAACAGG
rnacentral:rRNA from 1 species